GGAUUCCCCUAGUAACUGCGAGUGAAGCGGGAAAAGCUCAAAUUUAAAAUCUGGCAGUCUUUGGCUGUCCGAGUUGUAAUCUAGAGAAGUGUUAUCCGCGCUGGACCGUGUACAAGUCUCCUGGAAUGGAGCGUCAUAGAGGGUGAGAAUCCCGUCUUUGACACGGACUGCCAGGGCUUUGUGAUGCGCUCUCAAAGAGUCGAGUUGUUUGGGAAUGCAGCUCAAAAUGGGUGGUAAAUUCCAUCUAAAGCUAAAUAUUGGCGAGAGACCGAUAGCGAACAAGUACCGUGAGGGAAAGAUGAAAAGAACUUUGGAAAGAGAGUUAAACAGUACGUGAAAUUGCUGAAAGGGAAACGCUUGAAGUCAGUCGCAUUGGCUGAGAAUCAACCUUGCUUUUGCUGGGUGUACUUCUUAGUUAAUGGGUCAACAUCAAUUUUGACUGUUGGAUAAAGUCUGAAGGAAUGUGGCAUCUUCGGAUGUGUUAUAGCCUUUAGUUGCAUACAACAGUUGGGAUUGAGGAACUCAGCACGCCGCAAGGCCGGGUACUUGUACCACGUUCGUGCUUAGGAUGUUGGCAUAAUGGCUUUAAUCGACCCGUCUUGAAACACGGACCAAGGAGUCUAACAUGCCUGCGAGUAUUUGGGUGGAAAACCCGAGUGCGUAAUGAAAGUGAAAGUUGAGAUCCCUGUCAUGGGGAGCAUCGACGCCCGGACCAGACCUUUUGUGACGGAUCUGCGGUAGAGCAUGUAUGUUGGGACCCGAAAGAUGGUGAACUAUGCCUGAAUAGGGUGAAGCCAGAGGAAACUCUGGUGGAGGCUCGUAGCGAUUCUGACGUGCAAAUCGAUCGUCAAAUUUGGGUAUAGGGGCGAAAGACUAAUCGAA
rnacentral:rRNA from 1 species